rnacentral:rRNA from 1 species
GGAGUUAGCCGGUGCUUCUUCUGUGAGUGAUGUCCUUCCUGCCGGCUAUUAACCCGCAGGCCUUCUUCCUCACUGAAAGUGCUUUACAACCCGAAGGCCUUCUUCACACACGCGGCAUGGCUGGAUCAGGGUUGCCCCCAUUGUCCAAUAUUCCCCACUGCUGCCUCCCGUAGGAGUCUGGGCCGUGUCUCAGUCCCAGUGUGGCUGAUCAUCCUCUCAGACCAGCUACGGAUCGUCGCCUUGGUGAGCCGUUACCUCACCAACCAGCUAAUCCGACAUAGGCUCAUCCGAUAGCGCGAGGCCCGAAGGUCCCCCGCUUUCCCCCGUAGGGCGUAUGCGGUAUUAGCCUGGGUUUCCCCAGGUUAUCCCCCACUACCGGGCAGAUUCCUAUGCAUUACUCACCCGUCCGCCGCUCGCCACCAGGGAGCAAGCUCCCCGUGCUGCCGCUCGACUUGCAUGUGUAGCUCGCCGCCACGCGUCAUCUGAGCCAUGAUACAACUACUGA